rfam:Bombyx mori DNA, contig: Bm_scaf19486_contig64696, strain: p50T/Dazao, build 2, whole genome shotgun sequence.
UUAACUCUAAUUUGUAUGGAGUUGCAACGUUUACCUACGUUUGCCGCUAGGGGCGCUGUUCCAAUUGCAUAGAAAUUUGAGUUA